rnacentral:rRNA from 1 species
CUACGGGACGCUCCAGUGGGGAAUAUUGCACAAUGGGCGCAAGCCUGAUGCAGCCAUGCCGCGUGUAUGAAGAAGGCCUUCGGGUUGUAAAGUACUUUCAGCGGGGAGGAAGGGAGUAAAGUUAAUACCUUUGCUCAUUGACGUUACCCGCAGAAGAAGCACCGGCUAACUCCGUGCCAGCAGCCGCGGUAAUACGGAGGGUGCAAGCGUUAAUCGGAAUUACUGGGCGUAAAGCGCACGCAGGCGGUUUGUUAAGUCAGAUGUGAAAUCCCCGGGCUCAACCUGGGAACUGCAUCUGAUACUGGCAAGCUCGAGUCUCGUAGAGGGGGGUAGAAUUCCAGGUGUAGCGGUGAAAUGCGUAGAGAUCUGGAGGAAUACCGGUGGCGAAGGCGGCCCCCUGGACGAAGACUGACGCUCAGGUGCGAAAGCGUGGGGAGCAAACAGGAUUAGAUACCCCCGUAGUC